UACGGAGGGGGCUAGCGUUGUUCGGAAUUACUGGGCGUAAAGCGCACGUAGGCGGCUUUGCAAGUUAGAGGUGAAAGCCCGGGGCUCAACUCCGGAAUUGCCUUUAAAACUGCAUCGCUAGAAUUGUGGAGAGGUAAGUGGAAUUCCGAGUGUAGAGGUGAAAUUCGUAGAUAUUCGGAAGAACACCAGUGGCGAAGGCGACUGACUGGACAAGUAUUGACGCUGAGGUGCGAAAGCGUGGGGAGCAAACAGG
rnacentral:rRNA from 1 species